AUUGAACGCUGGCGGCAUGCCUUACACAUGCAAGUCGAACGGUAACAGGUCUUCGGAUGCUGACGAGUGGCGAACGGGUGAGUAAUACAUCGGAACGUGCCCGAUCGUGGGGGAUAACGAAGCGAAAGCUUUGCUAAUACCGCAUACGAUCUCAGGAUGAAAGCAGGGGACCGCAAGGCCUUGCGCUCACGGAGCGGCCGAUGGCAGAUUAGGUAGUUGGUGGGAUAAAAGCUUACCAAGCCGACGAUCUGUAGCUGGUCUGAGAGGACGACCAGCCACACUGGGACUGAGACACGGCCCAGACUCCUACGGGAGGCAGCAGUGGGGAAUUUUGGACAAUGGGCGCAAGCCUGAUCCAGCCAUGCCGCGUGCAGGAUGAAGGCCUUCGGGUUGUAAACUGCUUUUGUACGGAACGAAAAGACUCUGGUUAAUACCUGGGGUCCAUGACGGUACCGUAAGAAUAAGCACCGGCUAACUACGUGCCAGCCGCCGCGGUAAGAC
rnacentral:rRNA from 1 species